rnacentral:rRNA from 1 species
GACGAACGCUGGCGGCGUGCUUAACACAUGCAAGUCGAACGGAAAGGCCCCUUCGGGGGUACUCGAGUGGCGAACAGGUGAGUAACACGUGAGUAACCUGCCCUUGACUUCGGGAUAACUUCAGGAAACUGGGGCUAAUACCGGAUAGGAAUCCUUGCUGCAUGGUGGGGGUUGGAAAGCUUCGGCGGUUUUGGAUGGACUCGCGGCUUAUCAGCUUGUUGGUGGGGUAGUGGCUUACCAAGGCUUUGACGGGUAGCCGGCCUGAGAGGGCGACCGGCCACAUUGGGACUGAGAUACGGCCCAGACUCCGACGGGAGGCAGCAGUGGGGAAGAUUGCACAAUGGGCGGAGGCCUGAUGCAGCAACGCCGCGUGCGGGAUGACGGCCUUCGGGUUGUAAACCGCUUUCAGCAGGGGCGAAGCUUGUGGUGACGGUACCUGCAGAAGAAGCACCGGCUAACUACGUG